rnacentral:lncRNA from 1 species
UUGUGUAGUAGUUGGCAUUUCAAGGAAAGCAUAAGUAGUUUGAAGAAGAAGGAGAAAGGGCCAGACCAUGAUAGUCAUGAGCCAAGGUAAGCUUGGUGCUACCUCUUUGUUUCUUUGUUUUUUUAUAGAAGAAGAGUAAUAGAUAAAAUUUGAAUGAUGUAAAGUGAAAUUUUGGAAUGAAAGAAAGAUUUGACUUAGAUGAUGUCAAAUAAAAAAUUAAAUUUAUUAUGUGCUGAAUUAUAAGUAGAAGAUUGAAAAGUUGAUAAUGGGAGAUGUUUGUGAAGUAUGGAUAUAACUGGGAGAAUUAUAAUACAUUGAAGAUUGAGAUUCAAGAAGAAGUCUAUGGAGUCUAGAAUUGUGUGAAGUAGGUUAGUGGAUAUGAUAGUUAAUUUGGAAGAUUUCAGUGAUUGGAUUAUGAAAUAUUUUAUGCAAUCUUUUAAAAUUAUAUAGUAUUACUUAUUAUUUUCAUAAGUUUGGAAAGGAAAGAAUAGUAAAUAUAUAAGAUAGAAUUAUUGA